rfam:Raphidiopsis brookii D9 D9_1144, whole genome shotgun sequence.
GGAAGCUGGGUGCGGUGAAAAUCGCACGCCCAGAUUUAAACGAGAGGUGCGAAGGAUAAUACCCUCCAUCGACUCAAC